AUUAAUGGGUUCUGAGACUUAAUCAGCAAAAGCUCCUCGAGUGUGGAACAUUUUGUUAGAUUCUAUAGAUAAGCUAUCACUUCAUUAGAAUUACAUACCACUGAAGCUUGGGAAUUAAAUCUCCUAGUUAGAAUAAGGAUAAACAGAGCUAACAAAUUCGGGUGCACAGAGGCACCGCAGCCUUAACAAGCAGAUCUCCUCGAGGCUCACCUUGAGAGUUUUGCUCCUGGUUUCCCGCCGGUCCCCCAGCUCAGGUGUGGGCUGGCCAGGCAGCUGCUCCCCUCUGACGUCACCGGGGAAGCCACGCCCACCGGCUGCUCCCAGACAAUGCCCGAGUGCGUGUGGAUGGAGCCUGAGCUAGAGCAGGACCUGCAGGCCCGAGGCAGGGGGCUCCUGUCAUGGAUGCCUUUGGCUUCACGGUUUCCCCAAGGCUCUGUUGAGCCUUCCUUAGACAGCUGGACGACAGUCUAGGGCACCUCCUGCCUUCUCUACCUCUCUCCUUCACUUGGGAUCAGAUAGAAAAUUCUCCAGCCUUCCCUGACUCCCUAGUCCCCUCCUCUCCGCCCGCCCCCGCACAGGCAUAUUCCUCAAUAAUAUCCCUGCACGUGUAAUCCCAUCUUGGCAUCUAGCCUAACACAUCAAGAAGAAGGGAAGACGGAGGGAAUGCAGCCCGCGGAGCACAGGAGCCUCUUCUGUGACCUCCUAAAAUCAAGCCACUCAGGUACCCAGAUUUCCACUCGCCCUGCCUGCCCAAUAGAUACCCACUGCUUUUAGACAAAGGAAGACGACCGCUUUUAGAUGUAUUUCUAUAUACAAAAUAUUACAGAGACCUAUUCUUGGGAAGAUAUGUAGUUGCACAAGUUAUUUUCCCUCUGGGCCGUGCAUCUGCGGAGCUAACUGCUAUGUAUAGCAUUUCCUAAGAAACAAUGGUCUCGCUCAAUGAAGCAGCUGAGGAAACGGGAAUCUAUAAUGACACCCACCUUCUAGCAGUGUGUGUGUGCGUCUCUGAGCAUUUUUCAGUGAACUCCUGCUUUCAGGAGCUGGUCCCACAUCAGCGCCCACGCCUCGGCCUUGUACCCCAUUCAGAAGGCAACCUACAGCCCAGCACAGAAUUGGAAUGUUGCGAGUGUGAUGAGAAUGCCUAAUGUGGCCAGAGCAGCCAGAUGCAACAGAAGGCAGCCCGACACAUCAAAGCCUUGCCCCACUGUGGCAGUGCCAGGGCAGGUUGUGAGCAGGAAAUCUCUGCUCUGUGCAGAUAGCGGCUGGGGCAGGACCCCAAUGUGGUGAGUUCUCAGUGGCUGAGCCCAGGCCAGGACACUGCUUUGUACCCCAGCUAUUUAUUGUUCCUCUCGUCCUGGGCAAAGCUGGCAGCCCAACUGGUAAACACAGGGCAGUCCUCAAGAUGCAGACAUGACCAGGAGGGCUACUACCACACAUUCGUAAUACACAUGCACGACACUACCCAGCAGUAACCAUGGAAAGUGCAUCCAGAUGGCAAUGGAUGGAAGAGGGAAAGCGCCACCCCAGAAAUGGCUGUAGGAAGAGGUAAUCUGCAGAGACUUGUGGCAAGAGAGUCAAAGAAAGAGAAGCUUAACUGGUGGACACUUUCAUAGCGUGGGAGCUGGUGGCCUCCCGGGGGGGAAUAUGUGGGACCCAGGAAAUCUAACAAAAAUCUCCUACCCCUGGACAAGCAGAGCAGGACUAACUCCAUUUUGUGCUACACCCGCCAUCUCAUGUAAAACCCCCCACACGACCUGCCUAUUGUUUGAGGCACUCCCUCACCCUAGUUUAGCUACUAAGCACACCCUUAUCAGAAACCAGCACACUUAGGAAUGCGGGACCUCUGACCUUUAACCAGCCAAGGAAUGAAAACCCCUCUUUUGCCCGCCAAACCUGCACGCCAAUUCUAACCAGAAUAAUAGGCCAGUUCAAAUGGUCACUAUAGGGUGAAUCAUAAUUCAAUUGGCCACCUGUGUGUGGACUGACAUGACUGUGCAACUUUCUACGUAUGUUACAAUCUCAUUGGACAUGGACCCCUAUAACACUACUAUGCUUCUUGGUCUCUGGGUCCAAGUCCCUGCUCCGCUGUGUCGGGUAUACUUGGACCCAGGCUAGAGCUUGUUAAUAAACCCUCCUGUACUUGCA
rnacentral:lncRNA from 12 species